GCACGGCGGGCGCGGCCGCCCCCUGGCGGGCCGGGGGUGGAGCCGCGCCGUGAGGGGAGCCCGGGCCGUGAGGGGAGCUCGGGCCGUGAGGGAGCUCGGGCCGCUCCCACAGCGCAACCCCAGCGGCCCCGAGCGGGACACAGCCGGGACACGGCGUAAAGCCAAUCGGGAGAUCCCGCAGCCACACGAGACGGUGUCGGCUGAGGCCUCGCCGCACCUCCGCUCUUCCCAGGGCAGAGUCCCAGCCCCUCGGCGUUCCGUGGGAGAGCAUUAUUCACUCGUUACUCCUAAGAUAGCCUUCUGGUGAUACUUAGUCAUACAAACGAAAGAGGUGAUGUGCAGUGGCCUUUUGUGAUGACCACUGAUGGUUGAAUUUAGUGCUACUGUAAGAACUUGAUAAACACCUUGUUGCGCUGCACUCCUUCCAAGUUAGAUGGGGCCCACCAAAACCAUCAGAUUUAUAUUUUGAUUAAGUGGCCACCCAAGGAUCGAAGAGCUUGGCAUUAUCAGCCCGAUCCACUGGGCGAGUCCCAGAGGCGAUGGUGGCCUCCAAUCGCAGAGCUGGUGAUGGCAAACCUCCACCAGUCAGCUCCCAUCUGAAUCUGCUGGGUUUGGCAAGGCUGGAAGUUGGGGUGCAGUGGUGUGUGAGAACUGAGAAGAGUAUCUGGGCUCCAGUACUGGUGAAUCCAACUGUUUAGAGUUUAUUGCCACAAAUAAUUUAGGAAAACAAAUACGACUUAUUUAAAUGGUUUGUUUUUCAUGGUAGAACUGUGUCUUGAACUUACACAAAAUAGGAUCGUCUCUUAUUUAAAAAUAGAUGUGUGUUAAUUCUCACUUCAAGGUUUUACAGAGAUAGUUAUGAGGGCUGACGUGGGGGAGCUUGUCUCCAGUGGCUGCUUCUGAGGAAGAAUCUGCACAUUCAGACUGAAAUUAGCCUUUGUGAAUUGUCCUCUAAUAGUUCCCCAAGAACUACAAAAGAAAGAGGUAUUUGAUGUCACUGCAUGUUUCAGGCUCUUCAUUUUGACAUUAGCCAAGUGCUGUAUUCCAGUCAUGUAUUUCUGUGUAAACUGAUUUUAUUUAAACAAAUCUGCCAAACUCUUUAAAGGUUUCCCUGGUGGCAGGGAGUGAGCACAGGUGUUUAUUUAGCCUUCAGCCCAUGACCUUCCUGUAGAGGUGGGUUAUGUCUCUAUAAAUGUGGAAAUAAGCAAAGGAGUGUUGGACAUUUUACCUCCUUGAUUGGAAGGACAUCCUGGUUGAGCUGAGCUGCUCGAGAUGAUACUUCAGACAACGGCUACAAAGAAACUUCUCUUUGCUUCCAUGUGGCCUUGCUUUACCUUCAAUAAACAUUGUUCUAUUUUUUUUAAUGCUUUA